rnacentral:rRNA from 1 species
CAAUAGAUGUGGUAGAAGUCGUCAUUUGGCGAGAAAGCUCAGUCUCAGGAGGAAGCGGAGCAGUCCAAAUGUUUUUGAGAUGGCAGCAACGGAAACCAUAACGAGCAUCAUCUUGAUUAAGCUCAUUAGGGUUAGCCUCGGUACGGUCAGGCAUCCACGGCGCUUUAAAAUAGUUGUUAUAGAUAUUCAAAUAACCCUGAAACAAAUGCUUAGGGAUUUU